rnacentral:rRNA from 1 species
AUUGAACGCUGGCGGCAGGCCUAACACAUGCAAGUCGAACGAGUGGCGGACGGGUGAGUAAUGUCUGGGAAACUGCCUGAUGGAGGGGGAUAACUACUGGAAACGGUAGCUAAUACCGCAUACCAUUGGAUGUGCCCAGAUGGGAUUAGCUAGUAGGUGGGGUAAAGGCUCACCUAGGCUACGAUCCCUAGCUGGUCUGAGAGGAUGACCAGCCACACUGGAACUGAGACACGGUCCAGACUCCUACGGGAGGCAGCAGUGGGUAAUAUUACACAAUGGGCGCAAGCCUGAUGCAUCCAUGCCGCGUGUAUGAAGAAGGCCGUCGGGUUGUAAAGUACUUUCAGCGGGGAGGCGUUACCCGCAGAAGAAGCACCGGCUAACUCCGUGCCAGCAGCCGCGGUAAUAC